GAUGAACGCUGGCGGCGUGCCUAAUACAUGCAAGUAGGACGCAGUUGCGAACGGGUGAGUAACGCGUAGGUAACUACCUAUUAGAGGGGGAUAACUAUCGGAAGCGAUAGCUAAUACCGCAUACUAGGAGAUGGACCUGCGUUGGAUUAGCUAGUAGGUAGGGUAAUGGCCUACCUAGGCAACGAUAAAUACCCGGCCUGAGAGGGUGAUCGGCAACACUGGGACUGAGACACGGCCCAGACGCCUACGGGAGGCAGCAGUAGGGAAUCUUCGGCAAUGGGGGGAACCCUGACCGAGCAACGCCGCGGGAGUGAAGAAGGUUUUCGGAUCGUAAAGCUCUGUUGUUAAGGAAGCGGUACUUAACCAGAAAGGGACGGCUAACUACGUGCCAGCAGCCGCGGUAAUUC
rnacentral:rRNA from 1 species